rnacentral:rRNA from 1 species
GUCUAUGGCCAUGCUACCCUGAACAAGCCCGAUCCUGUCUGAUCUCGGAAGCUAAGAAGGGUCGGGCCUGGGUAGUACUUGGUUGGGAGACCACUUAGGAAGAUGAGGUGCUGUAGGCG